AUAGUGCCAUGAGGAGGAAGGAUUUAUGUUUAUCAUAAAAUGAUGUUCUGUUGUUCUUUUAUCAUUUAAAGUUACCAUAAUUGUGCACCGUGGAUUGGUCCUCACACUAGAGGUUCGGAUUUUGUACUCAACACAGAGUACAAAAAAUUGCAUUUUUCUUAUAAUGCAGUGAAGGAAGCAGAGUUUGACUGACUGAUGAACUUCUUAAGCUCAAGGUUAUUUACUACUCAAAUCAGAUUCUUCAAAUUCUGUCAGGUUGUGCGUUUUCUGUGCAAGCAAUGUGGGAUAGACCCCAAGGGCUCAGAAAUGGACUUGGUAGGAAGACUACAACAUGAAAUAAAGAACAGAGCCAGCUAUGACAAGGUGUGUUCACAGAUCUGGGGAGCUUCUGGUAAGCUGUGUUCUGUUACAACUCAUACAAACAAUUGGUUUGCAGGUCUUUGUUGAGUAACAUUCUUCUUUCUUUUUUUUCUGUGAUGUGCAGUUCUCUGUAACAGGUGGAUGGGCUAAGGUCACCUGUCCUUGUGCUGUGGUGUACAGUGUAAAAUUUAACAUAAGAGCUGAGAGCCCAAGGGACUUUGCUGAUCUGUUGCUGUCAAUGAAACAUUUUCCAAAUGUUUCAUUGUAUGAUUUUGCCAGAGGGUUUUCAACACGUACCAAUCUACGUGAACCGGGAACAUUUCCUCUCAGUCCUCAUGAGGGUAGGCUGCUUGAACCUACUGAAGAGAACAUCACACCUGCCACUACUGAGAAGAUAAAAGUAAACUUGCCGUUGCUGGUCAACAAGAAGCCUGUACCUGAUGAAAAUGCCCACCCUCUGACUGGAUCAUCUGAGCAUUAUGCUCUUUAUGAUCGAUUUCAUGAGGCUAACUCCAAAGAUGUCCGGGAGGUCUUGCGCAAGUUGGAACUGGUCCCAGAGUUAUGUGGUUGGGUCAACAGCCAAUGUGCCGAACAGCUCUUCCCUGGAAUGAAGAAAAAAAUAUAAUUUUCUAAAUAUGAUGACUCCCUCGUCACACGUCUUUUUGAUGCGAAGCAUUUUGAAUCACUACAACAACUAUAGGAAUUUAAAAACAUUAGAAAACAUGAAGAAGAAUUUGGGCAUUGGACUGGACAUACAAUUGAACAACUACGGUCAGACAGUGUUGGCAGCAGCAGAAGCUCCGGCUAAUGGAGCAGCAGAAACUCCGGCUGAUAGAGCAGCAGCAGAAACUCCAGCUAAUAGAGCAGCAGCAGAAACUGCGGCUGAUAGAGCAGCAGCAAAAGCUCGGGCUGAUGGAGCAGCAGCUGAAACUGCGGCUGAUAGAGCAGCAGCAAAAACUCCGGCUGAUGGAGCAGCAGAAACUCCGGCUGACAGAGCAGCAGAAACUCCCACUGAUGGAGCAGCAGCAGCAAAAGCAGCUCUGCAUAAGCAUUUCAGUAUAUUUGUUGGUCACUUUCUUGUUUGCUACUGAAACAGUUAUAGGCCAAACAUGUCUACAGAAAUAAUGUGACCUUGAUUCAGCAGUCAGACUGAACCACAAAAUCUGUUUCACACAAACACACAAUUUAUCAUUCUCCCUGUCUGUGCAAGUGUAGUGACUGCUUGUAUUAGUAUAUUUAUAGGUUUGUCCUUUCAUCAUGGCUUGCAUUUAUGAUUUAAUAGGAUAGAUUAACCUUCACUACAUUGCAGGCAAUUUGUCUACUUCACAGGUCCUGAUGCCAAAACUUUGCAGGAUUUAUCAGCUUGAUUCAGCUAACCCUACUGGUUUUGGAGACAGAAGCAUUUUGACUAUUUUCAGGUUUAAUGCUGACAAAAAGCAGCUGUUCAGUGUUCUGUUCUGGAAAAAGUGUUCCCUUUUUAUGACUGAGUUCUUAAAGUAAAAUGUUUGUGCUCUUCUCUCUCUUCCUGCAUGUUCUGUCAUAGACAGCUCGGUUGGCUGUUUGACUUCAGCCAGGUGAUAAUUCUUACUUUGUAGUCCAGGGGUCAGCAACCAGUUUUGGCAGGGGGCCAGAUAUUUUCCAAGCCAUUACGUGGCAGGCCACAAAAAAAAAAAAACAGAUUUUAGAAAAUGAAGCAGGUAAACCCAAUAAGAAAGGACAAAAAAAAAAAACAUUAAAUUGAAUAAAAUGAGACAGGUAAACCCGAUAAGAAAGGAC
rnacentral:lncRNA from 1 species